AAUAAAUACACCACAGCAAAUAAUGAGCUGCGUUAUUACGCGGCGAUGAUGAAUACUUUUUUGGUGUGAAAUGAUGAAUAAUCGCUGCUCUGUCAAAUACUGGUCGUGGAUGAGUGUCUUUUCUGUCUCCGUGUUGCUCUGGGGGCAACUUAUCUGGGUCCUGUUACGCUAAAUUUGAAAACCUCGCUGCGGCGGGGUUUUUUGUUU
rnacentral:sRNA from 1 species